rnacentral:rRNA from 1 species
CAGGAUGGAAAGGAAGCCCUGAAUAUGCAUGAUCUUGUCUGAUCUCAUAAGCUAAACAAGGUCAGACAUGGUUAGUAUGGGAUGAGAGAACAUAGAAGGAAACCCUUGGCUUCCUCCACU